rnacentral:rRNA from 1 species
UUGGAGGGCAAGUCUGGUGCCAGCAGCCGCGGUAAUUCCAGCUCCAAUAGCGUAUAUUAAAGUUGUUGCAGUUAAAAAGCUCGUAGUUGAAUUUCGGGGUUCAUCCGUUGGUCGGGCUUUUUUGAUCUGUACUGGCGUGAUGGAUUCCUACCUUCUGAAUAACCGGCAUGUCAUUAAUUUGGUGCGCCGGGGAAGCAGGACUGUUACCUUGAAAAAAUUAGAGUGCUUAAAGCAGGCUAUCGCCUGAAUACAUUAGCAUGGAAUAAUGAAAUAGGACGGCAUGGUUCUAUUUUGUUGGUUUCUAGGAUCACCGUAAUGAUUAAUAGGGAUAGUUGGGGGCAUUAGUAUUCAAUUGUCAGAGGUGAAAUUCUUGGAUUUAUUGAAGACUAACUUCUGCGAAAGCAUUUGCCAAGGAUGUUUUCAUUAAUCAAGAACGAAAGUUAGGGGAUCGAAGACGAUCAGAUACCGUCGUAGUCUUAACCAUAAACUAUGCCGACUAGGGAUCGGACGAUGUUAAUUUUUUAAUGACUCGUUCGGCGCCUUACGGGAAAC